rnacentral:rRNA from 1 species
CAGAGGUCCCAAGCGUUGUUCGGAUUCACUGGGCGUAAAGGGUGCGUAGGCGGUUCUGAAAGUCUGAUGUGAAAUCUCCAGGCCCAACCUGGAAACGGCAUUAGAAACUGCAGGGCUAGAGGCUUGGAGGGGGAACUGGAAUGCUCGGUGUAGCAGUGAAAUGCGUAGAGAUCGAGCGGAACACCAGUGGCGAAGGCGAGUUCCUGGACAAGUCCUGACGCUGAGGCACGAAAGCCGGGGGAGCAAACAGGAUUAGAUACCCUGGUAGUCCCGGCUGUAAACGGUGCACGUUUGCUGUGAGAGGAAUCGACCCCUUUCGUGGCGGAGCUAACGCGAUAAACGUGCCGCCUGGGGAGUACGGUCGCAAGAUUAA